rnacentral:rRNA from 1 species
UACGUAGGCAGCGAGCGUUGUUCGGAGUUACUGGGCGUAAAGAGUGCGUAGGCGGUUUUCUAAGUUUGGUGUGAAAUCUCCCGCUUAACUGGGAGGGUGCGCCGAAGACUGGAAGGCUUGAGUAUGGGAGAGGUAAGCGGAAUUCCUGGUGUAGCGGUGAAAUGACGCAGAUAUCAGGAGGAACACCGGUGGCGAAGGCGGGUCUCUGGGCCGAUACUGACGCUGAGGAGCGAAAGCGUGGGGAGCGAACAGG